GGGAGUGAAUGGGUCCUGGUGGGUCCCCUGGGCUUCAAACCCAGUCGGCGCGCGGUAACCCCGGGCGCGGUGAGUUCGAUUCUCACACACUCCCGCCA
rnacentral:tRNA from 2 species